UGAGGUGGAAAGCAGACCUCAAGCCCCAUUCCUUGACAAGCAGAGCUUCGAUGUAGGGUGGAGGUCUCACACGGACAGCCAGCAAAUGCACUGAAUUACACAGUCAGACAAAACUCCCCUCAUCUCUGGAGGCAAUUGUUCUUCUAGAAGAUUUGUAAAAAGAGGAUUCGCUCGUGGAUAGACCAGCUGGCAGGGAUAAAUCCUGCUCUGGAUGUCACAGAGCCUGAGAAAAAGAUGAGUCAAACAUCUCCCUGGCAAGCACAGCCCAACAGGGACAAAAGCAUUGGUGAUGCUUGCUCAGCAAGAAUGUCUGACCACUGGACAGCCACAGCCAGAAAGCUCCUGACUGGCCAGCCCUUCCCUUAACAGAAAAACAGCCAAGAGACAAAGCAAAUGACCCAAAACCACACAGCCAGCAAGAAUAAGAAGGGGUUUGCAGGCUCAGGCCAGCAGGUGUAGAAGCCGUGAAUCCUAAAGGAAAAACUCAAGAAUCUAAAACAUGUGAUGUCAUAAACCGAGAAGCCAAAGACAUUCCACUCUUCAGCUCAGAGUUCCCAGAAGGUAUGGUAUACCAUUAUAUAGAGACCAUCUCUCUGUGUGUGUGUGUGUGUGAGUGUGGGAGGCAGAGGAUAAACCAUGUGCCAUCUCCAAACUCAGCCUUGUAAUACGAAAGACAUUGCAAGUUCCUAUGGUCAACCAUCACUACCACUGGAGAGGUUCUUCCCCACAAAAGUUUUGUAAAUUCGAAGAGCAAAGAACUCUGCAACGUCUGGAGAGAUUCCUUCCAGAGUCAUAAACACUUGACUUACACCCUUUGUGGUGUUCCCAGAUACGGGCAUAUCAUCUGUAUUAUGGCAUCAUAUGUUCCUGUCUCUUCGUGAGAAUGUUAAGCUUCAUCCAGAAAAACACAAUAAUAAAGACUAUCAGGACUUCUUUGGUA